GGCCCGUUGGUCUAGUGGUCUAGGACGCCGGCCUCUCACGCCGGAGAUCAGGGGUUCGAAGCCCCUACGGGCUA
rnacentral:tRNA from 1 species